GAUUCCGUAGCUCAGCUUGGGAGAGCACUACCUUGACAGGGUAGGGGUCGCUGGUUCGAGCCCAGUCGGAAUCA
rnacentral:tRNA from 1 species